rnacentral:rRNA from 1 species
UAAAACGUAGGAGGCUAGCGUUAUCCGGAUUUAUUGGGCGUAAAGCGCGUGCAGGCGGUCUAUCAAGUUGGAUGUGAAAGCUCCUGGCUUAACUGGGAGAGGUCGUUCAAAACUGAUAGACUAGAGAAUGGUAGAGGGAGGUGGAAUUCCGGGUGUAGUGGUGAAAUGCGUAGAUAUCCGGAGGAACACCAGUGGCGAAAGCGGCCUCCUGGGCCAUUUCUGACGCUAAGACGCGAAAGCUAGGGUAGCAAACGGG